CCUACGGGAGGCAGCAGUGAGGAAUAUUGGUCAAUGGGCUUACGCCUGAACCAGCCAAGUCGCGUGAGGGAAGACUGCCCUAUGGGUUGUAAACCUCUUUUGUCAGGGAGCAAUUGGCGCUACGUGUAGCGUUAUCGAGAUUACUUGAAGAAAAAGCAUCGGCUAACUCCUUGCCCGCAGCCGCGGUAAUACGGAGGGUUCACGCUUUAUCCGGUUUUAUUGGGUUUAAGGGGUGCGUAUGCGGUCGUAUAAGUACGGGGUGAAAGCCCGGGGCUCAACCUCGGAAUUGCCUUUGAUACUGUCCGGCUAGAGAGUGGUUGCGGUAGGCGGAAUGUGUGGUGUAGCGGUGAAAUGCUUAGAGAUCAUACAGAACACCGAUUGCGAAGGCAGCUUACCAAGCUACUACUGACGUUGAGGCACGAAAGCGUGGGGAGCAAACAGGAUUAGAUACCCGUGUAGUC
rnacentral:rRNA from 1 species